CUGUGUACCCACCAACUUACCUCAUGACAGUUGCAACAUAAAUACCAGCUGCAGAAAAGAAUGCCUGUUUUUUGAACCAUCCCAACAUCUAACAACUUGGUAAAAGAGAAUGAGCCUGCAACAGAGAUAGAGGAUAGAAGAGUAGAAGAUCAGAGUGUCACAGAAGAUAAAGGAAAAAUGUGUUUCAAGAACAUCAAUGCUGCUAAAGAGGUAAUUCAUGAAAUCCAGCCAGAAGUAGCUCAGAGAGCAACUCCGGACUGACCUUUGUCUGGCUUUACUACUUCCUUUGUAGCCUGAUGGCUUCAUCAUCCCUGCUCCAUUUCCAUGUCCUAUUCCAGUCCAAGAUCCUUGCUGAUCCAUGACAAUCUAUGUUAGACCAGCCACUUGCCCACAUCAGAGCCAAACUAGAGUUCUGUCUGUACUGAGAGUUCUGUCUCUACACCUGUUUAUACAUAGCUCCAAGAUCAUGCAGAGAUUUCAGUAACAGCAGGGUUUUGCUCUGUCGUGUCCCAGGCAAGUGUUGAAGCAACUAGAAAUGAAAGUUCUGCAAACAUGCUCCAGAGAAAACCUAUGAAUAUGACCUACAGAUACCAUCUCCAGUUGUGAUGGGUGAGUAGUUAAGAUCUCCCUGGUUGUAGGGAGAAAAGAAACUUCAAGUGCUGAUUGUCACCUGGAAGCCCCUCCUGCUACUACUCCACGACCUUUGAGAUACUGGUUGGUAGGAGCUUUUUCAAGCAAGUUUUCCUGCCAUAGUCUCCAUUACUCUAGGGCAUUGCAGAUGAGACAAAGUUUUGUGGGGAACACAUGACACAGGGAUUAUACAGAAAGAGAGCCCCCUGCAGUGAUGUAAUCCCCUCCUCUGGAAACUAAAAUGGCCCUGUAAACUACGGGGAGGCAUUAAGGGUAUGGUUUUUGACAUCAGGAGGCACUAAGGGUCAUGAAUACAUCCUGUAUCAAUGACAAAUUUAAGGGGAUUGUGUAAAUUCAAUUGUUAAUUAAACUAUUCAAACUAUUUGGGACUAGGAAAAACCAAGGCAACUGAAUCAACAGGUAUUUUCUAAACUCACUUUAAUUUAAAAAAAAAAAAUGAUAGUGACACCCAACAGUCUCUUCCAGCUAAGUGACUAUUCAGAAAUAGUCAGGAAAGAAAAGAUAUACUAUGUUAUGGGUCAAAUUAUGUCACCCAAGAAAAAAUAUGUUGAAGUCUUAACCCCCAGUACCUAAAGACAUAACCUUAUUUGGAAGUGGCAUCUUUGCAGCAGUCAUCAAAAUAAGGUCAUUAGGGUGGUCCUAAUCCAAUAGGACUGGUGUGCUUACAAAAAGGGGAAAUUUGAACAAAGACACAGACACACACACACAGGAAAAACAAUGUGGAGACACAGGGAGAAGACAGCCAUGUGCCUAGAGGAGGCACAAGCUGAGGAAUACCAAGGAUUGCCAGGAAAUCCUUGAGGCUAGAAGGGGGAAGAAUGAAUUCUUCCGUGGUGCUGUCAGAGGGAGCACGGCCCUGCCAACACUUUGAUCUCAGACUUCUGCCCCCAGAAUGUGAGAAAAUAAAUUUAUGUUAUUUUAAGCCACCUAGUGUUUGGUACUCUUCUAUGGCAGGGACACUAAUACAUU
rnacentral:lncRNA from 10 species